UACAGAGGUCUCAAGCGUUGUUCGGAAUUACUGGGCGUAAAGCGCGCGUAGGCGGUGAACUUUGUCAGAGGUGAAAUCCCGAGGCUCAACUUCGGAAUUGCCUUUGAAACGGGUUCGCUUGAGUCCGAGAGAGGAUGGCGGAAUUCCGAGUGUAGAGGUGAAAUUCGUAGAUAUUCGGAAGAACACCAGUGGCGAAGGCGGGUCUCUGGGCCAUUACUGACGCUCAUGUGCGAAAGCGUGGGGAGCAAACAGG
rnacentral:rRNA from 1 species